ensembl:snRNA U6 U6 spliceosomal RNA
GUGCUAACUUCAGCAGCACAUACACUAAAAUUGGAAUGAGAGAGAAGAGAUUAGCAUGGCCCCUGCACAAGGAUGGCACAUAAAUUCAUGAAGCAUUCCAUAUUUUA